rnacentral:lncRNA from 1 species
GUCUCUUUCAGGAGACUGCUCCUCUGGGAGUUUUCUUUUCUGCAAGCCUACAACGCAGGUACCUGGAUUCCAACUGCUGUCUCUGUCCACAAUAAAAGGCCAUGGUCAUGUAGCAAAAUGAAAGUGAAGGAGCUCUUCCAGUACAUCGGAAAGACCAGAAAAGCAAUUCUGUAUGUUUUUGCCUCCUAAUUUUGAUACAAACUGGGAGUAACUGCACUUAUUUCAGGCUCACACAGCAUCAUAUCCUCCUUCUGUUUGGUUAUUAGACAUAAACUUGUCUGUUUUUAUCAAUUUAGUAAUACAUCCUCAUACGUGACACUAAGACUUGUCUGAAUCGCUGGUUUUGAAUCCUUCUUUCAUGUUUAAAAUAUUACCAUUUUGCUACAUUUAUUCAUCUGGGUUUAAGUUUUGGUUACUUCAACUUUUUAUGUUCAUUUUAACUUAGAGAAAAUCAAUUGAUAAAACAUUGCAUUUGUUUACACAUUUUCAAAUUAAUAUGUUAUGUAAAGUAAUAAUGUCAGAUUGAAUCCUGUAAUAUUUAGAUAUGAAAAUGGCCCCGAUUUUUUUUUUUUUUUUGCAUGCUUUACCUCACCAAAACUACUGAUGUAAACAAAAGGCAUCAAGUAUGAAUUUUGAAUUAGAAAACUGAACCUUCAACAACUGAGUCUGGUUGGUACUAACAUGCUGCGUCAAACCUCAUUAAAACCGCCAAUAGAGGACUAUCCUGCAUAUAAGUAUAAUGCCAUAACCCACUACUGCAGAGACAAAGAAGGCUCCAGUUCAUGGCGACCCAAGGGACAAGAUGUGCAGCUGGUCAGACAAGUACAUGAAUGAAAUUUUUACUAAAUUAGUUGUUUAGUAUUU